rnacentral:rRNA from 1 species
CAGCCGUAAACUAUGCGCGUUAGGUGUAUCGGUGACCACGAGUUACCGAGGCGCCGAAGGGAAACCGUGAAACGUGCCGCCUGGGAAGUACGGUCGCAAGGCUGAAACUUAAAGGAAUUGGCGGGGGAGCACCACAACAGGUGGAGCCUGCGGUUUAAUUGGACGUCAACGCCGGGAAGCUCACCGGAUAGGACAGCAGAAUGAUUGCCGGGCUGAAGACCCUGCAUGACUAGCUGAGAGGAGGUGCAUGGCGUAGACGUCU